GGAGAAAGCAGAACGCCCGGCAAAUGACAGCUGCUGGCCCCAGACAGGGCCAGAGAGAGGAGUUUUACAAGGUGCCACCUCAGAAAGGCACCUGUCAAUCCAAGCCUGCAGUGGCCAGAGGGGUGGCAGGGCAAGGGCAGUCCAGGAUACAGUGAAUGGGACUGCCUACAGUGAAGAUGAGCAGAGAACCGUCCCACAUCAGCUAAUACAUCAAGACUGUCCCUCACAGGCAUGACCAAAGGCUUGUCCUCCAGUGACUCUGACUUGUGUCAAGUUGACAAAUCAGCAGUAGCAGCAGCAGCAGCAGCAUCACCUAACCAGGACAUCCACACCGACCCACUGCUCCUCUUUAAAGGCCACCUGUACUUCACUGGAGAGCUGUCAGCUAAGAGCUGUCCUGUGAGGGGUCUUACAGUCAGGGAUCCCUGAAGCACCAUCCAGAGCCCAGGAAAGAAAGUCCCUCAUUGCAGAUCUCUGACCCUGCUCCAGUCAUGGCAAGGUUGAGGGAGGCAGGUAGAGCAAGACGCCUCUCCAUCUUCAUAAGACCAAGGAGUGCCCUUCCAUGGCCAGUUGCCUAGUCAGGACUCAUCUGUUCCUCACCACAGCCUGUGACGUCGAUAGCCUGACUAUUGUCUAUACUCGACAGAUGGGGAAACUGAGGCCGACAUCAUCAUCAAUGUGGUAUUGAAGCUGACAGUAACACUAAAACUUUCAAGACUCCAUAACAAACGUUCUACAUCAGAAUGAGAACGUGGUGGCCCAUCUCGGGUAGAUAGGUACCCCUGGUGUCCCUGUGUCCCCCAGCAGGCAGACCAUUCCAGAGAAGGCUAAUGUAAUUGAUGACCAGGAAGGAGCAGAGCUAUCCUUCUAGAGAAGGCUCAGAAUUUAGCCUAAGUGACAGUGUGGUCACUGACAAGCAGAACAAAGUUGGACAAGCAGCUUAGCAUUGAAUGUACAUGUGCACAGAGAGGGAGGGUGAGGGAGGGAGGGAGAGAGAGGGAGAGAGAGGGAGAGAGGGAGAGAGGGAGAGAGAGAGAGAGAGAGAGAGAGAGAGAGAGAACACAUGCACACGCAGCCCCCUCCACCGGCGCUCUCAAGUGCCCUGUGUGAGUGAGUGGGUGGAUAGUGGGAGCCGUGAAGCCGCUUCCCAGAGACAAUCUCUGCAGCUCACUCGGAGCCCCCUUCUUGGCUGGGUGUCAACCCCAGCCUUAUGCACAGGCAGCUGCCUCUAGGGAAUGAUUUAAAGGGCUCCAAGAAGCAGUCCACCCGUUGAAAAUGGCCCCCAUCCCUGGCCAGCAUGCUCACCUACCUGCCACGGGCCUUUCUAAAAGCGUGCUGAGAUCCUGAAGCCAAGGAGACUGCCCACAGUGGACUCCGAGUCCUGGCACUGCACCGAGGGACCCCCCCACAGCCUUCAUUGUGUCUGCCCAACACCCACUCUGCCUCCCCACCCCUCAACGGGUUCAAUCUGUAGCUCAGGAUCCUCUUGGUUAUAAUGGGGGAUCCCAGGCCCAGAGAGUGAUGAGGCCAUUCAGGCCUCUAGUGGGUAGGAGCAGAGUUUGUGCUCCCACCUAGGGACCUGGGCCACUUCACUUUGCCAUCAUAGUAUAAAGUCCAAAAAUCAGACCAUCCCAAGACUAGGCCAUCUGCAAAAACAGAGUGGAAACCCAGGUGUAGGGACUGAGGAGGAAGGGGGAGAUGAGGGAGACGAGGGGGGGAGUGGUGGGCACUCGCAUGAGGGUUGGGGGUCAGUCCUAAGGAAGUCUGUAGACGUCACAGUUCAGCCAUCUGAAGCUGACCUAGAAGCUGAGGUGCUCGUCUGCAGCUGGAGUCUCAUCACUUGGGAGGCUAAAGCAGGAGUCUCUCCAGUUCAAGCUCAGCCUGCACGGUGAGCCUGUCUCAAAACCAAAAACUCAGAAAAAAAAAAAAGCAAAGCAGCAGGGGGGGGUGGCACCGGACAGGUACAAGGGACAUGGAGACAAGUGGGACGGGGGUGCAUGGGAAUCACAAAGAGCCAAUAAAAUGUUAAAAUGAAUUAAGUAGUUAAUUAAAGAGAAGUGGAGGCAGGAGGAUCAGAAACUGACGGUCGUUCUUUAUACUUCGUAAGUUUGAGGUCAGCCUGAGCAACCGGUGACCCGGCCUUAACCUUCCUCCGGCUUUUCCCCUGAAGAAGAGGUUCUGGAAGGGAAAUGGGGAGCCGUGUUCUGGUUAAAGAACUCCGAGGCCUCUAGUGACUCUUCUCAGUGAAUACUUCUAAUCAUCAGGGUACUCCAUAAGGACAUCCAACCAGGGUCUCUAUUUUCAGAUAUUCUCUCUAUUCUCAUGAGGAAGUUGAAGCACAGAGCAGGUAAGUAACUUGAUCAAGGUCACACAGCUGGCAAAUAACAGAAUCUGGAUUCCCAGUCAAGUCCCUGACCCCAGAAAUCUUUUUUUCCCCACACUCUGGGUGGUGUGUGUGUGUGUGUGUGUGUGUGUGUGUGUGUGUGUGUGUGUGUGUGGGGUAUGUGUGUGUGUCUGUGUGUCUGUGUCUGUGGGCAAAGUGUCUCAGUAUACUCUGUCUUGAACUCUUGUACAUGGUCAAAGCCUUUUAAAAUAGGUUGCUGAAACCAAAUCAAAGAUCUCGUUCUCCUUUUAAAAUUUU
ensembl:lincRNA Gm29455 predicted gene 29455